AACCCACCAAGGGAGCAUGAAGCCAAGCGGAAAUGCUGGUGUACAGUCACCUAUGAGAACCAAAAUAAGGCCAGCCAGAACACUGUCAAGGUCAUGGCAGAGCCCAGGCAUCCCUUGUUAACAUCCAUCUCUGAGUGAGCAUUAUGCAGAGAAGUUUUCCCCACUCCCAAUUCCUCUUCCAGAUUUAAAGAAAAAGCUAUUCGACUGCAGAAGGAACUUGAGCCUUUCCUCAUAGGGGAGAUGACCAUCUUUGACCUUACCUGUUCUAGCUAUGAGGCAAAAAUCUUUCUAAAUAGAUACACAUCAAUCACCACGCCAUAGCUGCUUGCUUAACUCAGGAUUACAUCAUUAAAAAUCGUUCCCUGUUCUCAGUAAGCCAUCACUGGAUAUGGUAGGGGAGCCAAGAAUUAUUGACCAACUGAAAAAUGACAGGGCCCCAUCAAAUCUAUUUGACUUGUAUUUCCCGGUUCCAAAGGACAGAAGGCCCUUUAUUCUAUGACGCAAUGGAAUGGGACAUUUGAAAGCCAGCAUCCAAUCACAACAUAAGGGCACUUGGAAGAUCCUAAAGUCUGAAGCUAGCACUGAGCUACUUUUCCAGUGGAUAUCAGAGUCUGUCACUCAGGCUGGAGCACAGUGGUGCCAUCUCAGAUCACUGCAACCUCCGUCUCCCAAGUUCAAAUGAUUCUCCAGCCUCAGCCUCCCAAGUAGCUGGGACUACAGGUGUGUGCAACCAUGCCCAGAUAAUUUUUGUAUUUUUAAUAGAGACGGGGUUUCACCAUGUUGGCCAGGCUGCUCUCAAACUCUGGAUCUCAGGUGAUCCACCCACCUCAGCCUCCCAAAGAGCUGGGAUUACAGGCAUGAGCCACUGUGCCCGGCCAGUUUUCUCCUUUCUUUAAUAAAAAUUAUAAAGGUAACUAAAGAAGAUACCCUUCAUGUAUGUCCAAAUCGAGUAAAUAAUUUUUCAAAAGUAGUAAUAUUCAAUAAAUUAUCACUCAAAAGCAUUUUUCCAAAUUCACUUCUUACUUCUUCACAAUAUUUUACUAUUGAAAACUUCAUGAAAACAGAUGGCCAUGUGAACACAUUGGUAAGCAUGUAAGAGAGGGGCCCUAAAGCAUAAGCUUCAUUAGUUUCAUAUAUUAUGUCGGUACAAAAGUAUUUGCAGUUUUUGCCCUUGCUUUCAGUCUAAUUCUGCAUCAACCU
rnacentral:lncRNA from 1 species